rnacentral:rRNA from 1 species
UACAGAGGGUGCAAGCGUUAAUCGGAAUUAUUGGGCGUAAAGCGCACGUAGGUGGUUAUGUAAGUCAGAUGUGAAAUCCCUGGGCUCAACCUGGGAACUGCAUUUGAAACUGUGUGACUAGAGUAUGGGAGAGGGAAGUGGAAUUUCUGGUGUAGCGGUGAAAUGCGUAGAUAUCAGAAGGAACACCAGUGGCGAAGGCGACUUCCUGGCCUAAUACUGACACUGAGGAGCGAAAGCGUGGGUAGCGAACAGG